GCUUGUCUCAAAGAUUAAGCCAUGCAUGUCUAAGUACAAGCCUCAGUAAGGUGAAACCGCGAAUGGCUCAUUAAAUCACACCUAAUCUACUGGAAAGUUACUAGUUACUUGGAUAACUGAGGUAAUUCUUGAGCUAAUACAUGCGAAAAAUCUCGACUCACGGAGAGAUGCAUUUAUUAGAUACAAAACCGACCCGAGGUUCGCCUCGGAACCGUUGGUGAUUCAUAAUAACUAAGCGAAUCGCAUAGGCUUGCCUGGCGAUGGAUCUUUCAAGUUUCUGACCUAUCAGCUAUCGACGGUAGGGUAUUGGCCUACCGUGGCUAUGACGGGUAACGGAGAAUCAGGGUUCGAUUCCGGAGAGGGAGCCUGAGAAACGGCUACCACAUCUAAGGAAGGCAGCAGG
rnacentral:rRNA from 1 species